rnacentral:rRNA from 1 species
UACGUAGGGUGCAAGCGUUGUCCGGAAUUAUUGGGCGUAAAGAGCUCGUAGGCGGCCUGUCACGUCGGCUGUGAAAACCCGGGGCUCAACCCCGGGCCUGCAGUCGAUACGGGCAGGCUAGAGUUCGGCAGGGGAGACUGGAAUUCCUGGUGUAGCGGUGAAAUGCGCAGAUAUCAGGAGGAACACCGAUGGCGAAGGCAGGUCUCUGGGCCGCAACUGACGCUGAGGAGCGAAAGCAUGGGGAGCGAACAGG